AUGAAGCUGUUGCAAAGGCUCCGGGAUUGCUUUAGACCUUUGGUGUCUUGAUUCCGCUCUAAUACAAGCAGAACACAGGUCUGGAAGCAAUGUGGUGCUGAACAAUUAACCAUGCACACAGCCUGGGAACAGCUUCCAAAGAGCUCUUCAAAGCCUCUAACAAAGGGCUCAAGGCAAUGCAACAGACACUGCUAAGAUCUGCCAAGGAGCUCACUGAUGAAUAAGACGUGGUUCCUGUGUUUUCACAAAACUGUUGAGAAAACAAAACACAUCCCCACCCUGACCAGGCCAUUAAGAAUUUAUCUGGAGCAGAGAGCUGCUGUCUACUUUUGGGAAGAGCUUUUCACCUGAAUUUGAAUGAUCAGUCAGGUUCGAGAGCUACAAAUUCAGGAACAGCGAACAAUGGGGACAGAAAUGUUUAUGGCUGAAAAUGGAGGAUAGUCUGAAGUACUAUCCAAACUGGAAAAGCCUCCUCCUUCACAGUGAGAGGACCUUCAGGAAAGAGCAACUGUAUUCAACCUCCAGGACACCUGGGGAAAGAGCAACUGUUGCAUCAUGGACGUAUUUAACACAGAUGUUUAGAAGUUACUACAGGAAAACAUUGUGAUGGUGACCUUUAAUUAUCAACUUGAGACAGUCUAGAGUCACUCAGGAAGGAUUGUGUAGAUCUGGUUGGACUGUGGGCAUUUGUUGGGGAUCAUCUAGAACAGCGCUUCUCAACCCUCUUCAUGUUGCUACCCUUUAGUGCAGUUCCUCAUGUUGUGGUGACCCCUCCCCCCAACCAUAAAAUUAUUUCUUUGCUACUUCAUAACUAAUUUUGCUACUGCUAUGAGUCAUAAUGUAAAUAUCUGAUAUGCAGAAUAUGUGGCAUGCAACCCCCAAUGGGUCACGACCCACAUGUUGAGAGCCACUGUUUUAUGUUUUGUUAGUCAAGGUAAGGGAUCCUGAACUAUGGAGUGUGGACAAAGUGAGCUGAGUACAGCAAGCAUUCAUGCAUUACUCUGUGUUCAUGAUUAUGAGUGCCUUGUGACCAAGUCCUCCAAGUUCCUGGCAGUGUGACUUCCCCACUUGGACGGACAGUAACCUGAAUCUAGAGCUAAAAUACUUUUCUCCCAUAAGCUGCUUUUAUUUUAUCACACUAGUGGAAAACAAC